ACAAACCUCAGAAAACUUCAUACCUGCUGGAUCUUCAAGUUGUUUUGCUUGUCGAGAGCCCGGUGCCAGUCUGGAACAAGACUGUACAGUAAACAGAGUAAGGAGCAUCCUGAGCUAGUAUUUACCAACUGGAGGUCAAGAGAAAAUGACAGAAAUGAAGCUCAAGACCACUGAGAGACUCUCCUGGGCGUGCUGGGAGUGAAGUACUUGCUGGUUGGCUGCGUGCUGUGUUGUGGAAGGGUGAGAACCAGUGGAGGAAAAAGCUGGGGAGGGAGACCGUAGGAUGCUGCAAUCACAGAACUGAACGGCCCAAGUGGCUUCAAGCAAAAUGUCCUGAGGAUGAUACGUAUCUGCCCAAGCUCUGAAUCGCCAAACCAUUGCAUCGCUUCCCCUUUGGGUCUCUUAAAUGUGUCCUGCAGAUGUUUCAUGAUGCUAAUAGAUACCGUGGUGUCACAUGCAGCUUUCUUCUCAUCUGCAGUAACUCUUUGACACAAAAUAAGGAGCUACUAUGAGACUGCCUCCUUGGGCCGUGUGUACGCAGUUUUGCAAGCUGUGUGUUGGUGAUAAUUCGCUAAGGACUCACUGGUGCAACGCCUAAAGGUGUAUGGCCGGGCUGCCACGUUUGAGCUUGAGCUGUGAGCUUGUUGGAUGACCUUUAAUGAAGGGGAAAGAAAGGCCAGCAUCGAGCCCGGCGAAGCAGCGGUCAUUUGAACAGUCACAGCAGACAGCUAACAUCAGAAAUGAUCACAGAGGAAAUCUGGAGACUUCACUUCAUAUGGGUUUUUUUGGUGUUUCAGUAACACUGGAUGGAAAGCAGCUCCCCUCUGUUGUGGUUUAUAUCAGAUCCGGAAUAUUCUGGUUUUUCCCUAGAGAGACAAGGAGCAGUUUGCCUGUGAACCAAACUUUAAGAUUAAAUUUCAGUGUCUUGAGGAACAAAAGUCUUCCUUGAGAAAUGUCACAAAACAUUCCCAGAUCAUUUACUAUGUCUCCUGCUGCCACAGGGGAGACACUAAAGGCCAGUGACAUUGAGAAAUAAGGAUAACAAAACGCAGACCACCGGAAUCAGCAGAACGCCAAGGAUAAGCUGGAAGCUGAAUGAUCCAAAUUGCUGUUAUGUGCUGAGUUAGACUGCUGAAAGAAACAUAAUGAAGGACCAGCUAGACAAAAGGUCCUGCAGGGUGCAGAAAAAGCUGCUGAAAGCUGUUGCUCAGCUGAAUGCAGAUGAGCUCAAAAAAGCACCCGAAACUGGUAUGGGAACAUGCUCCUCUCUGAGGACUCCUUGUGAAGGAGGAGUGGGAUGUUCCCCAGUGGGCUGGAGACAAAUAGGCAAACAGUUUCCCCCUGGAAUGAAGAGCGUCACUGAGAAAUAAAAAACAUCUUGAGCAUAAGAAAUGCAUUUGGUGCCAAGUCAUACUGGCCCACCUGUAAUCCUCCCAGCACAAAUCCACUGACCUGCAAGGCUCACUAAAUACAGAAAGGAAGCAGAAAGAGAGAAAUAGUUACACAAAUGCCUCAGAAAUCCAUGCUGACCCUUUAGCCAGAGGGCAGCAAAUACUGUAGAUGAGCAAGGAGCCAAGCGACUGUUGAAAGGGAAAGAUUUUAGUGCACAUUAGCUUCCCCCUAUCAAGAGUAAAGGCUUUUCGGGCUGGAUGUCCAGAAAUGCCGUUACUGUUCUAGUUGCAGACCAUUCAUGAUCACAGCACCCUGAAAUUUAGGGACUAAGGCUCUAAUAGAUAUAACUAAAAAUGCUAGGCAAGGCGUUAGCUGUUACAACAGCAGAAGAUGUCUUCCUCACAACAUAUUGGAGGAAAAAAAAAGCACUGACACGUGAAGUCUUUGACAUGGAAUAAUUUGCUGCGUUCUGUGUAGACCAUAACAAGUAUUUUAAAAAUAAUUGCAGGGCUGGGCUGGGUAAAUUUAGGCUGGACAUCCAAUGGCGUUCUCGGCGUUGAAAUAAAUUUAUCGCUGACUUGGAAGUAAGUAUGCACUUGGGAAGUGAUAGCUGUGGUCUUGCUGCAUUUGCUUUGUGCAAACAGAACAUGGCACUGGGCAGUAACGUGUGUACUCAGCACCGUUAGAGAGCUGCUUCCCCAGAGCUUAUAACAGCAGUCAGCCUAACUCUCUGAGAAUACAAACCUGAAGUGGGGAACAUGAACAAAGGCUGGAAAUUGUUCAGCUACUAGAUUCCCUAUGGUCAAGAGAAAAAAAAUUUCAGGGCUAGACACCGUAAUGGUGAAGAAAAGAAGAGGAAGCAGUGACAAAACAUGCAAGACGGAGGCAGAGAUGAUCUUAAUGAAGAAAAAAAGGGUGUAAAUUAUUUUUAAUAUAGUUUGGGAGUAAUUAAUAAAGGAAGAAGCAGGGAUUAAUGAAGUAAUGAUAGUAUUAGAUAAAAAAAAUAAUCUUUUGAAAAUACGGUUACAAGAGGAAAAACACCCAUCAGUUACAGGUUCAGUGUUAGUUAAGCUGGAAUUAAUGAGGCAGGAAAGUCAGAAAUGCAAAGCAGAUAUUUCUGUUUUGUAUUGGCUGGUAUUUGGCUGGCUUCAAAAAUGAACGCUUCAACCAUACAUUGAGAUGAUUUCGUCAAUUUUCACCCACCUACCUGGCAAAAAGAAUAGCAGCCCAGAGAAGAUGAUUUUUCUUUCAUGUUAUAUCUCUUUACAAUAGAUCCUUUGAUAGAGUGCAAUCUGUCAUUACGCUAACUAUCUGUUCAAGCAAAAUGGCAUCUCUGAUAUGCUGCGUGGCAGAGUGAAUGGCCUAAUGGGCAUAGAGGGACGCGUCCACAGAGGCUGUGGUUUCAAAAAACUAAAAGGAAAAAAAGGGAAAAAAAGGGAAAAAAGGAGACUUGAGGGAAAAGGAUUCUUUUUAACAGGAUAUGAGAGCCUAACUCCCUUAAACUCCUUUGGAAAUCUGAGCCAGAAAUCCUAUGAUUUUAUAAGAUAGUUUGACUAACUAAGACAAAAAGAUUAAACAGGUGCCGAUGAUGCUGCAGUGGCACAACUAGACAUGUGGGGUGUUGGCUUUGAAGGGUGCUGCAGGGAGACAGGCCACCACAGCGGGUGUAACCGCGUGCUGCGUCGUCUGACACGAGAAAGGAAAGAUUUUGCCGGGAUGACAAAUGAAAUACAAAAGCUGUAAAUAGAGGCUCUGCACUUACAUGUUUUGUAGCUCGUAGGCAAAAGGCACAGAUGGAUUGGAGAGAAAUCACUGGCCAAAGCACUGUCAAAACGCUGCAGUUGUGCUACAGCUUAAAAAUUGUCAUUUUUCAUUUACCGAUUAAGUGUAUAAUAGUGUCAACUGUCAAACUUGCAGUUGUGACAUGCAAUUUGUUACCUGCAGGGAAUCUAUUUGAAAAUGUGUAACAUUUCAUAUUAUGUAUUAAUCACGUGAGACACUAUUGCAUGGUGCAGAUUAACCAGCGUCUGGUUUCCAUACAGACUCUGAGAGAAAUCUUGCUCUGUGUGUGUGUUGUUUCAAUUAUACGGUGCUUUUCUUUAUUUUUAGCGCCAUAGAAAUGUGAUAAUUUGGCUGGAGUAAGUCCAACUGCAUUGUAAAGUUAAUGAAUUUCUUAGCAGAUCUUUUUUAAGACUUUCUGUUCAGAAAAAGCCACCGAGCACAAAAUUAAUUGGGCAGGGUUACAAAAUAUCCAACUCAGACAUUAUAGGAGUCAAUGAGAGUGGUUGUGUGGAGAAAGGCUUAUUGCUUUUAUCUCCCUGAAUGUCACAGUCAUACAGCCAGUGAUGAUAAUGCUUUAUAUUGAAAAUUAAAGGAGUGCUUCGAAGCCAGUUUAGAAUGACAAAGGGAAAACUGUUGGUGCAGGGCUAAACUUGGUGGGAAAUGUGACUUUCCGUUUCAGCACAGCCCCAGGGGUUUGCUGCGGGCAGACGUUCUCUGACCGGAGCUUUUGCAUGUAGGAGCAUGAAGUGAGCAGCCUGCACGUGUGGUCUUACCCACCCUUGUGGGACAGUGGGGGUUUCGCCCCAGGGCUCGCUCUGCAGCAUCUCUGACACUUCUGCCUGCACUUUACACUGGAUUUUGAGUAAGAAUCAUGGAAUCGUUAAGGUUGGAAAAGACCCUUAAGAUCACCGAGUCCAACCGCUAACCUGUCACUGCCAAGGCCACCACUAAACCACAUCCUCAAGCACCACGUCUACCCUUCCUUUAAAUACCCCCAGGGAUGGAGACUCAGCCACUUCCCUGGGCAGCCUGUUCCGAUGUUUGACAACCCUUUCGGUGGCUUAUUCCUCCAAAUGCUCCUGACGUUGAGGUGGUUCAUUCACUACCGUUUUGUGUGUGGAACAAAGCUGCCAGUGCGCCUGUUGGGGUAUUUUUGAGUACAAAAACUCAUCAUGUGUGAAGAUCCUAGUUAGUAUCACCUAAAAACAAGCAUUGUUAGAGGCUUUGUCACCUGAGUUCUAGCCACUGCUAUAGCGAAUGGAGCAACAGAAGGCAGAAGUCUUUUCAGCCACAGCCUCUGACCAUCCUUGUUCCUCUCCCUGGACCUGGAAGGAAGCCGGACAGAUUAAUCACCUGCUUCAGCAUUUCAGUGAGGAGCCUGAUGAGACAGAAUGAACCUGGGCCCAGGACCCAAAUACAACAUGCCAGUGCUCACGUAAGUGCCCAUGCAGACAAAGCAAGAGAGCUUCUGAGUGCUGUUUUGGUGGUGUUCUUUAAUUCUGGUCCUUUACUCUUCUUAGCCCUGGCCAGGAGUGUGCACCAGGGGUUGGACAGGGGAGAGUGAUUGUUCUACCACCUUCCCAUCUGGCCCCUUGAACAUUUUAUGGCAGUCCAAAGGCUCUGCUGGAUUGUGCUGUGGAAUAGUGGUCUUAAGGGUCCACAUUCAUCAUGCUGUGAACAGAAAAACACCCUCUGGCAUAGGCCUGCGGGCCACAGGGAGGUGCAUCGGGUGGGAUGUGGGAGAGCUGCUCUCUACCAGAAAAAAGCUCUUCCUUCCCAGUAGGCUUCCACUUGCAGCGCCUUUUAUUUGUCCUGAUAGCAUGAAAACAACCCUAAAUCUAAGUAGAACUUAGGCCAAAGCGUUUACCAGACUCAGUUUGCUUAAAAAAAAAAAAAGUAGAAUGUGUAGUAUUUAAUAUUGUAGUUUUCCAUAAAAUUUGCAUAAGCAUAAUGUGUGCCCUAAGGCUCCUUUACCAAGGAUUCUGUGCAUUAUCAUCAUACAUAUAUUAACAAUGUGUUUGAACUCUGUAGCAAAUUUUAAUUUUUCUUUGUCAAUAUCAAUGUUUCCAUUGCAUACACAGGGUGGAAUGAGCUCAGUGUUUUCAUUAUAUUUUUCAAUUAACUUUUCUUCCCCUCAUCAAUGCUGUUGUGGAUUAAUUCAUUCUCUCCACUUUUCUUCAAGAAAAAAAAAAAUCAUUAUCUGAUAUGAAAUAUUUCAGUUCCUUGGAAGAAAACUGGCUGUGAAAGGGGAUGCUCAAUCCAGGUAGCAGCAUGCUACCAGCUAAAGGCUUGACCAUGUUAAUGAUCAAACACCAGUGGGUUGGUCACCUCUAGGAAGCCAGAUAAUUUAAUGGCUUAACCAAACUGUAGGAAUAUCCUGAAUCUGACCUUUGUGGGGUUAUUAAGGAGGGAGGGCAGCUCAAAGGAAACAACCUGUGGCCUGGGAGCUUUAUUCCCUCUCCAGGGCAGCAAAUGCAUUAGUCCCGUUACUGUAGCAUUUCAGAGGAAGGUCCAUAAGCACAAGGAGCCAAGAACCAUGUUAUUAAUUAUUGAAGGAGUGUAAGGGAAGCUAUUUUGCUGCUGGUCUUGUUGGGCAAUCUCUCAUUCUCCUGCCCAAAGACGGAAACUCCCUGGAAAGCCCCUCCAGAGCCAAGAACAGCUUCGGUGAUCCCCUUGGAAUUGUCUCAGGCGCAGACAUCCCUCCCUCCUGGUGCUGUUUCUGGGGCUCAAUGAUCCAGUUAUUGACAUCUGGGGAGGGAAGGAGAGAUACCCCUGCUCAUACCAAAAGGCUGUCCCAUACAGGUGAUUUUUCUUUGCUCCUUGUAUAGUAGAGUAACUUUGUGAAGCUCACUCAAGAGCAAGCUGGUUUGGUUGCUUUUUGCUGUCUCUAGAGUCAGGUGGGUUGAGCUCAGACGCCUCACAGAAGGACAACCUCUUCACAUCUGCUGCCAUGAGUAACCCAUGGAGAAAGCCCAGCUGCCUGGUCGUAGCCAGUUGUCUCAUCUGGCUUGGGACAGCUGGGCCUGAGCGCUGAACAAGCACAAGACAGAAAGCCCCGAACUGUUUAAAGCUCCUCAAUAACAAUGGCAGAGCAAAGAGGGAAGAAAGGAAGGGUUGGAUCUUCUGGGAGUUUCUGGGAUGCACAAGUAGGGAGUAGAAACCCCAACUCCCUCUGCCCCUUUUUUCUCCUUGUAAGACCCAGCUGGUACCUCCCCAGCCUGCCAUUAAGGUUGCUAGUCCAGGAUGUUGUUCAAAUUGUACCUCCCUUUCCCUCCAUGCAUCUGGUGCAUCUGCAUUGGGAAAAUAAGCCAUGAAGUCAAGACCUGCUCAUUUGGAGGGUGGGUUUUGGUCGUUUUUUUCGCCUUCACAAGCAAUUAUUUAAGGACACCAUUGCCAAACCUGCCUUGUAGGAUACCAGCGCUCAGGAUGCCUAGUACGGUACACGAGGAACCAGUUUCUCUAUGGUCUUCAGAGCUGAACACAGUACACAUUCAACACAAGCUUUGAAGCACAGCAGCUCUGCUCCUUAAGGGUAAUGCACAACCUCCUCCCUCCUUCUGCAGUCCUUUGAGGCUUGGCUUGAGAGCAAAUUGCAGCAAAUUGGUGUCCACCCUGCCAUGGAAAACACGUUAAUUUUUAUGUGCUGUCCUGAUGCAGAGAGGAGCGAUAUUUUGGUCUUUUUAUAUUUUUUUUUUUUCAGGCUGGGGGGGUGUAUGAAGAUUUGUGUUUUUCGUUCAUGGAACUGUCUUUCUGACAGGGGUCUGCACCUUUCAAAGGAAUUAUUUGUUGUAUACCCACAGUGGACUGUUUGUGUAGAGUUUUCAGGAAAAAAUCUGUCGAUGAAAUAUGCGGCCAUUUAAUUUAUCCUUCACAGUUGUUCCAUGUAAAUGAAGAAAUGGAAGUCUUUGUGAGCCAUCAAAGCUGUGAAAUAAAUGCACGAUUAGCUGCAUGAAAGUGCUGAAACCCAUUAGCACUCAUUUUAGAAUAAUAAUGUACUUCAAGUCUAUUUG